rnacentral:rRNA from 1 species
GCAGUUUCGCAUAGAAACCAUAUUAAAGUCACAACGGCAAAAGAUGAGCAUGCGUCCCAUUAGCUUGUUGGUAAGGUAACGGCUUACCAUGGCUACGAUGGGUAGGGGUCCUGAGAGGGAGAUCCCCCACACUGGUACUGAGACACGGACCAGACUCCUACGGGAGGCAGCAGUGAGGAAUAUUGGUCAAUGGACGCAAGUCUGAACCAGCCAUGCCGCGUGCAGGAUGACGGUCCUAUGGAUUGUAAACUGCUUUUGUACGAGAAGAAACAACAUUACGUGUAAUGUCUUGACGGUAUCGUAAGAAUAAGGAUCGGCUAACUCCGUG